rnacentral:rRNA from 1 species
UACGAAGGGGGCUAGCGUUGUUCGGAAUUACUGGGCGUAAAGCGCGCGUAGGUGGCUUCGUAAGUCCGUUGUGAAAGUCAAAGGCUCAACCUUUGAAAGCCGAUGGAUACUGCGGAGCUAGAGUACGGAAGAGGCGAGUGGAAUUCCUGGUGUAGCGGUGGAAUGCGCAGAUAUCAGGAGGAACACCAAUAGCGAAGGCAGCUCGCUGGGACGUUACUGACACUGAGGCGCGAAAGCGUGGGGAGCGAACAGG